GAUGAACGCUGGCGGCGUGCCUAAUACAUGCCAGUCGAGCGAACAGACGAGGAGCUUGCUCCUCUUACGUUAGCGGCGGACGGGUGAGUAACACGUGGAUAACCUACCUAUAAGACUGGGAUAACUUUGGGAAACGGGAGCUAAUACCGCAUAAUAUAUUGAACCGCAUGGUUCAUUAGUGAAAGACGCUUUUGCUGUACUUUAUAGUUGGAUCCCGGUCGCUUAGGCUAUUUGGGAAGUUAACGGCUUACCAAGCCAACGUAGCGUACCCGACUUGAAGGGUGGAUCGCCCACACUGGAACGGAGACACGGUCAAGACUCCUACGGGAGGAGCCAGUAGGGAAUCUUCCGCAAUGGGCGAAAGCCUAACGGAGCAAGGCGGCGUGAGUGAUGAAGGUCUUGGAUCCUUAAAACCCUGUGAUUAGGGAGGAACAAAUGUGUAAGUAAAUAUGCACGUCGUGACGGUACCUAAUCAGAAAGCCACGGCUAACUACGUG
rnacentral:rRNA from 1 species